UCAAGAAAAAGCGUGCCCACGUAUCCUCGCAAUUAACAAAAAAGUUUCGUACGGAAAACGCCACCGCGGAAAUUUCAUCUUCAGCACACAGCGACUUCUGCAAUUAAGAGCUAGAUCAUGCCGCGUGAAAAGAUUUUCGCAGCAGUUCUCAUUUCAAUUAUAGUGACAGACAUAAAGUCACAAGAUCGGGAUCCCUCAAGAAUACGCAUCAGUCCCUGGGAUAUCAAGCAGUUUGUUAGAACGAUGGAACCAAUAUGGACCUAUAAGACUACGGCACGUAUGGAGAAUAUGUGCAAGGUGGAUCGCGUGCGACAUGUUGCCACAGUGUUCGUGGAAUUCAAUCGAUCAUACUACUACCACGGACAAAGGCAGUAUUUCUUUUUCAGUUCUAUUGGUGCUUAUGUUUGCAAGCACGCAUUUUUUAUUUUCAGGGAAAAUAUUGCAAUGCAAGGACGAUUCGAUUUGACUAACAGGGCUGAGAUGAGGGUCGGCCGUCUAGGUACGCUACCGACUUGUACGGAAAAAUUACUAUACAUGAGUAGAGACUGUACCUGUGCAUUGAUUUUGGUCUCGUCAUUGGUUACGAGAAGACACUAUUAUGAGCUCCGAGUGAAGAAUUGUUCCGUUGAAGAGGGACCUCACGUGGACUGCAGAAGAGAGUUCUGUCGACUCAGAAAACGCGGUACAGUUCUGUACCAGCCACUUUGUCACAAGAGACUUAGACCCGACAAUUGAAUUAUCUUUACCAAUAUUUGAGUGCAGCGUUGACAAGCAGUCCUUCAAUGAACGAGCAUGGUAACUGUUCUUGGUAUUGGUGCGUUUACGCAAAAUUGCAAGCAAAUAAAGAACCGCAGCGCGGCGUA
rnacentral:lncRNA from 1 species